GUGGCCUAGUGGUUAGAGCGUCCGCCGCCUCCGAUGCGAGAGAUCGCGGGUUCAAACCCCGGUCAAGUCA